rnacentral:lncRNA from 1 species
CUUCAUUCAAAUUCCAAGAGCCUAACGUCAGUCGGGUUUUGGCAGAUGUCAGUAAUGUAACUCCUACUACACCAAGUCUUUCCUCGGAUCAACUGUUCACUAUUCCUGAAUCAGUCUUCACUCCUACAAAUCAGAACAAUGGUGGUAUAAUUUAUGGCAAAUAACAUGUCUGUAAAUAGUUUUUACUUAACAGACGGCCCUAACAGUUUAUGUCCUUCAUUUUUAUUCUCAGUUCAAUACAUCAAUAAGUUGCCUAUACGUUCUAAGAACUAUCGUCCUUACUCUGGAAACACUGGUUAGCACAUCAAUUAAUUCCAUAAACCAAAUAAUGUUAACUGAUUUUUAUUUUCUACAUUGAUCAUUGACAAUUUUGAUACAUGUGUAGGACAAGGUUCCACUAUCUCUGCCCAGUACUCAACCCUCUCAACAUCUAUGAGUACAUUGAGCAAUAUUCGUCCGACAAAUCUAUUCAAUGCAUUUUCGAUGUCAGAAAAUGGGGAUCAAUUUCAUCAAAAUGUUCAUAGUAGGAAUGACGUUUUCAGAACUCCCAGUUUGUUUAACGCAACUGCCACUAGAAUAAGUCCUACUACGCUGCACCAUUUCACUCAUCCUGAAUCAGUUUUCAGUUGUACAAAUCUGAACAAAGGUGAUAAACUUUAGACUAUUUUGGCAGCAUCCUACUGUAAUAUUCAUUGAAACAACAAACUUUUGUUGAUCUCGCUAUGGGUCAUGGCUAACGAUUUGAAGAUGGGGUACAGGUAAAAGCAUUGCUAAGUUGCCACUACUUUCUAAGAGAUAUCGUCCAAACUCAGAUCUGCCUGGUAAGUUAAUCUUAAUUUUAUACAAAGAAAAUACUGGUCAUCAAUGCAUUCUAAAUAUUUGAAUUUUACAAAUUUAAUUUUUACAAAUUUAAAUGUGUAGGAGAAGACACCAGUGGACCCUCAACGCGUUCGAAACUCUCUACCAUGAAUACAUGUAUACAAAUUCAUCCUACCAAUCUACUCUAGACUUUUUCAAGCUCAGAUAAUAUCAGCCAAAUUGACGAAAAUGUUUACACUACACAUGAGCUAAACUCUAAUGUCGAUGAGUCAGAUGGAGAUGAUAAUUCUACGGGAAGUCAACACCUAUUCAAUGGUAAAAAAAUUCAUAUUAAACAUCUUAAAAAAAUGUAUCUAAGUAUGAUUGCUAAUGUGUGACAUUACAGAGGAUGGUGAAUAUUAUGGUGAACAAGUUUAUGAUGUCAGUAGCGAAGAUAGUGAUACAAAUUCAGAAUGCAAUCUCCAUAACGAAACACUAUCUGUUCAAACUGGAGCAAUGCAAUUGAGGGUUGGGAAUACAUCUUCACUACAAGAAACAAGUGAGAUUUUAACAAGUUCCCUACUGUAUGUUCUUUAAUUUAAUAUCAUAAUUUAUGUUAACAUGAAAUUUACAUAUUUAGGAUACAUAGAUGAGGGUGAUCCUACUCAUAAAUGUGAUCAUUGCGGUGCUAUAAUGUGGUAUGGUGAACGCAUAGAAAAGAAAAGAAAGAUGAGAAAACCGAAAUUUUCUUUGUGUUGUGGGCAAGGUCAAGUUCAGUUGCCUUUGCUAAAACCUUCACCUACCACCUUGCAAACAUUUCUUUCUGGUGAAGAUCAGUUGAGCAAAUAUUAUAGAGAAAAUAUCAGGCAACUAAACAUGGUUUUCUCAUUUACAUCUCUUGGUGGUAAAGUUGAGCGAUCAUGCAGUGCAGAACCACAAAUGUUUCAGUUACAAGGUGAAAACUAUCAUUUAAUGGGGAGUUUAAAACCACCAGAUGGAGACACUGCCAAAUUCUCUCAACUUUACAUUGUGGACACAGAAAAUGAGAUUGAUAACAGAGCAACUAUUAUCGGGUAUGUUUUUUAAUUACAUACCAAUUAAAAUCAUUUACCAUUAGAUACAUGCAUCGUGAAGAUCAUUAUUUAAUAAGGUUUGCUGUAAUGCUAUGAAAACACUUUGCAGGAAGUACAGGAAAUCAGCUGAAAAGGCUAAAAAGGAACGACUAAGAAAACAAGUCAUAGAAAAGCUUGUGAAGAUGCUGGACGAAGUUAAUCCAUACGUUCAUCAGUUUAGAUCAGCCAGGGAUAGGUUUGAUACUAAUACCAAGGAAACAUUUCAUAUGCGAAUUAUAAGCAGUCGGGAGAAGGAUGGAAGGACGUAUGAUACACCAACUGCAUCUGAAGUUGCUGCAUUAAUUCCUGGAGAUUUCAAUAUGGAAAUGGAUAAAAGGGACAUUGUUUUGCAAGAGAAGCAAGCAGGAUAUCUUAAGAGGAUAAGUGAGAUUCAUCCUUCCUAUUUAGCACUUCAGUAUCCUCUUAUCUUUACAUAUGGUGAAGAUGGAUUCAGACUUGGUAUAAAAAGGAGAACAACAGAAGCUACAUCUAAGCUGAAGAGAUCUAAUAUCAGUAUGAGACAAUGGUAUGCAUUUCGGAUUCAGGAAAGAGAAAAAGAGUGUCAUACUCUUCUGCACUCUAAAAGGUUGUUCCAACAAUUUUUGGUCGAUGGGUAUACAUCUAUAGAAGCAAAUAGGUUGUUAUAUAUGAGGAUGAACCAGAAAAGCCUUAGAUCCGAUACCUUUGAUUCUAUUCAGCAGUCUGAACACUCAGGAAAGACAGAUAUGCAUGAUCAAGGAAGUCGAACCUACUUACCAGCCUCAUUCACCGGAGGGCCAAGAUACAUGAAGAACAUGUAUCUAGAUGCAAUGGCGAUAUGCAAACACUUGGGUUUUCCUGAUCUGUUUAUAACCUUUACAUGCAACCCAAAGUGGCCUGAAUAACCAGGUAUCUACAACCACGCAAACUAACGGCUGAGGAUAGACCUGAUAUUAUCAACAGGAUUUUCAAGUGUAAAUUGGAUUCUCUAAUGAGUGAUUUAACAGACAAAGAGUUACUGGGAAAGACAGUCGCAUGUAAGUUAUUAUAUCUUUUUUCUUAUGGUUUAUAUGAUAAGGGUCAAAUUUUAAUGUUACUAAUUUUGGGUCUUUUGAUUUGAUGCAGCAAUGUAUACAAUUGAAUUCCAGAAACGUGGUCUACCGCAUGCUCACAUUCUGUUAUUCAUGCAUCCUCAAUCCAAAUUUCCUACAACUGCUGACAUUGACAACAUCAUCUCAGCAGAAAUUUCAGAUAAAAACAAAGAACCAGAGUUGUUUGAAGUUAUAAAGGAUAUGAUGAUUCAUGGUCCUUGUGGUGCAGUUAACAUGAACUCGCCAUGCAUGGAAAAUGGUAAAUGUUCAAAGCUUUAUCCUAAGGAUCAUGUUGAGAAAACCUGGGUCAACAAAGAGGGUUUUCCUGUUUAUAGAAGACGAGACCAACCUGAUUGCUUUGUAGAGAAAAAUGGCUUCAAAUGCGAUAACAGAUAUGUCAUACCAUACAACAAAGAAUUGUCUCUUCGCUAUCGAGCCCACAUUAAUGUGGAAUGGUGUAAUCAAACGGGUUCUAUUAAAUACUUAUUCAAGUAUAUUAAUAAAGGUCAAGACAAAAUUACUGUCACUGUUGAGCCGCCAGAAAAAGGAGCACCAAAGGAAAAUGUCUCUAAAGAUGGAGCUGUAAAAGAGCCCGAGAAAAACGAGAUCAAAGACUUUUUUACUGGAAGGUAAUUUUCGUGCUCCAUAACUUAAUACAGAUAUGUUUUUUUGAUUUCUGAUUCCAAAUUUUGGUUACAUAUUUUUCAGAUAUGUCUCGGCCUGUGAAGGUUCUUGGAGGAUUUUCAAGUUUCCUAUACACUAUCGAUCAGUACCGGUUGAGAGAUUGCAGUUUCAUCUUCCUGGAAAGCAAAUAAUUAUUUUCAAGGACGAUGACACUUAUGAAAAAGUGAUAAGUGAAAAGCUUCUUGAAAACACAAUGUUCUUGGCAUGGUUUGAAUUAAACAAGGUCAAUGCUCUUGCUAGAACACUCACUUUCGCUGAAAUCCCAAUGUUCUUCACUUGGAAUAAAAAGGAGAGAAAAUUUCAGGAAAGAAAAAAAGGUUUCUGUAUUGGUAGGAUCAACUAUGCUCCAAGGAAGAUUGAAGAAGCGUUUUACUUGCGUGUCUUGCUCAACGUUGUUAGAGGUCCAACAUGUUUUGAUGAUAUUAAAACGUUCAACAACGUUUUGUAUCCUUCUUACACGGAGACAUGUUUUGCAAGGGGAUUACUAGAAGAUGAUCAAGAGUAUAUUGAUGAUAUUGUGAGGACGAGUUUCACAGAAUCAGCAUCAUCUAUGCGUCAUGCUUUUGUGGUAAUGCUCAUGUCUGGUAGUUUGUCAAAGCCCGAGGUUGUUUGGGAACAUACAUGGGAGUUGCUAUCUGACGAUAUCGAAUAUAGACGGAGAAAGCUAUUAAAAAGACCAGGUUAUAUACUAUUUUAUUUUUUAUAUUCUAACUCAUACUAUCUAAAACUAUCUGAGACUAAAUCGUUUUCUGUUGUUUUUGUAGAUCUUUGUCUAAGUGAUGAUGAGAAAAAACGGUUGACUCUUCUUGAGAUUGAAAAGAUUUUAAAGAGUAAUGGAACUUCUUUAGAACAAUGGGAAACUAUGCCAAAGGCCGUUCCAGAUAAUGGUGCAAGUGACAAUGUCUUGAUUUUGGAUGAGCUGAGUUACGAUAGGGAUGAGUUGAAAGCUGAACAUGACAGGGAUAUUGGAAAACUGACAGAAGAGCAAACGAAGAUUUAUGAUGAGAUUGUUGAUGCUGUCGUUAAGGAUAAAGGAGGUGUGUUCUUCGUUUAUGGAUUUGGUGGUACCGGUAAAACAUUCCUCUGGAGAUUGUUGUCUGCAGCUAUCAGAUACAAAGGAGAAAUAUGUUUGAACACUGCAUCAAGUGGGAUAGCUUCUCUAUUGCUACAAGGAGGAAGGACAGCACAUUCUAGGUUUGGAAUACCGAUAAACCCAGAUGAGUAUUCUACUUGCACACUUAUUCCAGGAAGUGAUCAAGCUAAUUUGGUGAAAGCAGCUUCCUUUAUCAUUUGGGAUGAAGCACCAAUGAUGAGUAGACACUGUUUUGAAUCUCUGGAUAGGAGUAUGAAAGACAUUAUGGGGAGCAAUGACAACAUGCCUUUUGCUGGGAAAGUUGUUGUCUUUGGAGGCGAUUUUAGACAAAUACUGCCUGUCAUACCUGCUGCUGGAAGGGCAGAAAUUGUACUGGAUUCUCUAAAUUCAUCAUAUUUAUGGAAGCAUGUUAAAGUCAGGCAGCUAACAAAAAAUAUGAGGCUACUUUCUGAUAAUUUGACUGCUGAAGAUGCCAAGGAUCUAAAGGAGUUUUCACAGUGGAUAUUAGAUGUGGGAGAUGGAAAUAUUGGCGAAGAGAAUGAUGGAGAAGUAGCAAUCAAUAUCCCAGAUGAGUUUCUUAUUACUGAUGGAGAUGAUCCAAUAGAAUCCAUCACCAAAGCAGUCUAUGGGGAUGUUGUUUCUUUGCAACAGAAUAAAGAACCUAAGUUUUUUCAAGAAAGAGCAAUUCUCUGUCCUACGAAUGAGGAUGUCAACAUGAUUAAUCAGCACAUGCUGGAUAAACUUGAAGGUAUUACGAUUUUAAAUGUUUCUAACUAGAUUACUAAACUCGCAGAUUUGUUCAUUUAUGGAGUUGUUGUUUACAUGCAGGUGAGGAAAGAAUUUUUUUUAGCUCUGACUCCAUAGAUGCUUCUGAUAGAUUCUCAAUAAAUGACCAAGCUCUCACUCCUGACUUUUUAAACAAAAUCAAGACUUCUGGUCUGCCAAAUCAUAGUCUUAGAUUGAAAGUCAGCUGUCCUAUGAUGUUGCUUAGAAACAUUGAUCAUACGGCUGGAUUAAUGAAUGGCACUAGACUCCAGAUUACAGAGAUGUAUGAUUUCAUGGUAAAGGCGAAAGUGAUUACUGGACGAGAGGUUGGUCGUACUGUGGUUAUUCCUAGACUUUCUAUCACACCAUCGGAUAAGAAGUUGCCUUUCAAAAUGAGGAGGAGACAACUGCCUCUUGCAGUUGCAUUUGCUAUUACUAUCAAUAAGAGUCAGGGUCAAUCACUUUCGCAAGUCGGUUUGUAUCUAUCAAGAGAUUUUUUCUCUCAUGGACAGCUAUACGUGGCCAUCUCGAGGGUUACAUCCAAAAAAGGUUUGAAAAUUUUGAUUGUUGACAAUGAAGGCAAGCCUCAGAAGAAAACGAAGAAUGUUGUUUUCAAAGAGAUUUUCCAGAAUCUCUAACUUAAAAGAUUAUUUUGGUGUUUAAGAUUAUUUUGCUGUUUUUUUCUACUUUAAAAACUUCCAUAUAUUUUCAGACAUUAAAGUUAUUUUGCAAACAUUGCAACGUUCUAAUCUCUAUCUUAUUAUUUACAUACAAUAUCACACAAAACAGAACCACUCACGAUCCUCUUUUACUGUAUUCUAAAUUGAUUACUAACUUCGGUCUAAAGUAUACAUACUAUUAAGCAUAGAAUUUGAGCUACUUGGUAACACUCAUCAAACAACACAUUGUUUCUUCACCCAGAACAUCAGACAUAAUUUUACUAAUAUCUGUCAAAAAUAUUAACAACUAUAAGCACAGAAAACACUCAUCAAACAACACAUAGUUUCUUCGUAUCCGAAAUAAAAUUCAGUACCAUUCAUGUAGUGAGAGCGGGGAUCUAAAUUAGUUGAAGAGACUUACAUGUUAUGGCCAUGCUUUUUGUCGUCUGCCAAAUCUAUUUGAUUGUUUCCCUUUAUUCCAGUUACUUCUUCUUUUUAAACCCGUGCUUCCUGAAGGCAAAAUCAGAUUUCCAUAAGAACACAACAAUACCACGAUCAAACUAUUGAAGUCUAAUUAUUGAGCAUUUAUAAACAACUUAUCUUGCCCUGUUUUUUAAUGGUGGACCAGAAAUCCUUCUUUACAUAUAUGGUUGAACAGGAGAUCUUCUUUCUUCUCUCUGGAAAACUAAACGUUACAUAGUGAACCUAUUAUCUUCGACCACUGAUUCAUCUUCUCCUUAGUACGGUCUGAUCCAGCUGUCAAGAACUUUCAUCAAUCAGUUACGUUUUCAACUAAUGAAGAUAACUUUAUAUAGAGACAGGAAGUAACAUCUGAAAACAAGAUUUUUUCAAAAACAAUUACAACAGCAGGUUGAUCAGUUACCAGAAUAAAAAUAUUUAUUUUUAAAAAAAAAAGGUAUAUACCUCUUUGUCAAGACCAAAGCAACGAUUUGAGAUUUGUCGGCAGAUAUGUGCAUUCAGACUUGAGAUCUGACAGCAGAUCAAUAGAAAAUGAAAAUUUCACCAGCAAAAAACCCAAAGUAUUUUAUCAUCUCAACUUUUAACAUAACCAAAAAGUAAUUGAUUAACUAACCUUGAAUGUAAAAUCGACAGAUGAAGAAGAUAUAUAGAACAACCGUUUGAUAGACAUGAAACCUAUAUGUUCUGCGUGUCUUGAUUUGCUAUUGAAGUUUGUAAACUUCUUUCGGUCAGUAUUGAAGAACAGAGAAGAUGAUGAGAUUUUUUGAUCACCGACAAAGAACCUUCGACUAGGUAAAAAAGUGGUUGGCU